AUUAUGGGACAGGGGAGAAAAAAAAAUAUUCUGAACAAACUGUCCCAUAGUAAGAAACACUAUGGAACAGUUUGUUCAGAAUAUUUUUUUUUUCUGUGUUUCCUC